CAAGGUCAAAAAGUCGCUGUCAGGCCGCACCCGCCUGUGCGGGGCGCGCUCUCUCAGCAGCCUUCCCUCUGGGAGCUGAUAGUCUAGACCUGGCUAAGCCUCAGGGCCAUUAUUAGAUAAAACCCUUCAGGCACGGUUUGCUCAGGGAGACCAGGCCGGGGCCGAGGAUGCAGGUGGGACUCUGCCUUCCUGCCCCUCCCGCCUUGGAGAGGAGAGACCGUCCUUUCUCUCUCAGGCCAGUAAUGAGAGGGCUGAGGUGGGACCCAUCACCGAGGUUUUGUGUGGUUGUGGGCCCGAGGAGCAAGCGGAAGGAAGGAGAAAGUAUCCCCAUUUUCUUGCAGGGCCCCCUGUAUAUUUUCAUUUCAUGGCACUCACCACAUUUUGUAAUGAUAUGUUUUAAUUUACUGCUGUGAGAGGCGGUAGAGCUAGAAUGUGGUCGUCCAGACACUGGAUUCUGAUGUCAGACUGCCUGCUUGGAUCUCCGGGCAACUCUUUGACCAGCCGUGUGAUGUUGGGCAAGUCACUUCAUCUUUGUGUGUGUCAGUACGUUAUCUGAAAACUGAGAAGAAUGGUAGCACCUACCUCACAGGAUUGGAGUCCACAGGGCAGGCUGCCUCCAUGUUCACAAAGGAACGCCAGCUGAAACCCCAGCUUAAUACCAGAAGAUACCUUCAUCCAGGGUGGACAUCAAAAUGGGCCCAAAGCUGGAAGUGACACUGUUCCUUGUCUAACAAAAAGGAGGUGCUGGAGGCACACAGUGAGAGAGAGAGAGAGAGAGAGAGGCAGAGACACAGGCAGAGGGAGAAGCAGGCU